GAUGAACGCUGGCGGCGUGCCUAAUACAUGCAAGUAGAACGCUGAAGGAAGGAGCUUGCUCUUUCCGGAUGAGUUGCGAACGGGUGAGUAACGCGUAGGUAACCUGCCUGGUAGCGGGGGAUAACUAUUGGAAACGAUAGCUAAUACCGCAUAACAGUAGAUGUUGCAUGAUAUCUACUUAAAAGGUGCAAUUGCACCACUACCAGAUGGACCUGCGUUGUAUUAGCUAGUUGGUGAGGUAACGGCUCACCAAGGCGACGAUACAUAGCCGACCUGAGAGGGUGAUCGGCCACACUGGGACUGAGACACGGCCCAGACUCCUACGGGAGGCAGCAGUAGGGAAGCUUCGGCAAUGGACGGAAGUCUGACCGAGCAACGCCGCGUGAGUGAAGAAGGGUUUCGGAUCGUAAAGCUCUGUUGUAAGAGAAGAACGAGUGUGAGAGUGGAAAGUUCACACUGUGACGGUAUCUUACCAGAAAGGGACGGCUAACUACGUG
rnacentral:rRNA from 1 species